rnacentral:lncRNA from 1 species
CCUCACCGCGGCCCCAGGAGGCUGCUUCCCAAGGAACCCGAGACCCAGAGGGACCAGACCAUUGCCAAGAACAAGAAGACGUUGAUUCGUGGAGCCGGCGGAGGCCCCGCGCCUCGGUGACAGCGCUCGGCCGCGGCGGAGCGGAAGGAGCCGCGCUGGCUUCAUUCGCAUUUUCUACCGAAGCACUUAAUCCCCCUUGACGUGGCUGACACACAGAACACGCACAAUAAAAACAGCUAUUUUUAUUUGGUCUUGGAGUGGCUGGGGGGGGGGGNNNNNNNNNNNNNNNNNNNNNNNNNNNNNNNNNNNNNNNNNNNNNNNNNGCAGCGGCCCGGGGCGCUCCCGGCUCCAUGGGCGAGUCAGGGCUCGGGCCCUGGCCUGACUCGGCAGCGCACGCCGACCUCCUGGGGAGCAGAAGCACCGCUGUCCUGUUGCUGGGGGUUGCUUUGUUGCUUUUGCGCUCCAUUUAAACGAAUGUGACUGCAUAAGGCAGGAGCGCGGACGGCGUGACCGAGCCCAUUUUCCCGAGGCCCCGCCCCCCGCCUGCAGGUGCCGCGGCUCGUUCCACGGGCGAGCGCCCCCCUCCCGCCUGCUGCUUCCCAGGGGGCCGCUGCCGUCAGUCUGGGCAAGGCUGGAGCUCGUCUUUUCCUUUCCUCUUACAAACAAGACUGCCUCCGUGGCCGGGCUAUGGGGCUCGCGGUCCCAGAUGCGUCAGGAGUCGGUUCCCGGAAAGCGGCCCAACCGGGGGCUCUCCACCGCGUUCCACAAUGGCAGGGCUCACGUCAUUUUCCAUUGGUUUUGGACUGUGAUGCACAGUCCUUUGGGGAUGUUCUCAAGUUCAGGCUCCUUCAGAGCCAGGAGAGAAAAGCCCAACAGCAAAACAAGUGGAAAGUAACUGGCUGGCUGGUUGGAUUAAUUGAUGAUUGAUUGAUGGAUUGAUUGACUUCAUCAGUCAACAAGCCUCGGCAUAAGUUUGAACCACGUGAAAUUGCUGAUAAUUUGACCGCUUUUGACCUACAAAGAAAUGGCAAUUUCCUAUGUAAACCUAAUAAAGUAUUCUAAAAAUAUUUUGUUAUUCUUUCC